rnacentral:rRNA from 1 species
CGCAUCUGUGCAUGCAGCAUAUCAAUAAGCGGAGGAAAAGAAACUAACAAGGAUUCCCCUAGUAACGGCGAGUGAAGCGGGAAGAGCUCAAAUUUGAAAUCUUAAAGGGUUUCCCUUUACGAAUUGUAGUUUAAAGAAGUGUUUCUCUGUUGAGGUUUUGGUAAAAGUUCUUUGGAAUAGGACAUCAUAGAGGGUGAGAAUCCCGUAUUUGACCUUUACUUUCAACUUUGUGAUACACUCUCAAAGAGUCGGAUUGUUUGGGAAUGCAGUCCAAAAUGGGUGGUAAAUUUCAUCUAAAGCUAAAUAUUGGCGAGAGACCGAUAGCGAACAAGUACCGUGAGGGAAAGAUGAAAAGAACUUUGAAAAGAGAGUUAAACAGUACGUGAAAUUGUCAAAAGGGAAGCGUUUGACACCAGUGUUGUUUUUCUGAAAAUCAAUUAAAGAACUGUUUAUGCUAAGUUGUUUAGACUUUAUCAGCUAUCUGUUUAGUUUUGAGCUUUUCUUUAAUGCACUUUUCAGUUAACAAGUCAACAUCAAUUUCUUUUGCUGUAAAAAAGCUUGAGGAAGGUGGCUUGAGAUUCGUCUUAAGUGUUUAUAGCCUCUUGCCUAUGCAGUCGGAGAGAUUGAGGUCUGCAGCGUAGAUCCUUCGGGGCUAAAUGCAUUUGUGCUAAGUUAUAGCAUUUUAUAGACAACUUGUUGACUAUGAUUUGUCUUGUAGCUUACUCGCUUAUGAUUAUUUUACCUACGCUUAGGAUGUUGAAUCUGUGCGAGACUAC